rnacentral:rRNA from 1 species
AUACGGAGGGUGCAAGCGUUGUUCGGAAUCAUUGGGCGUAAAGGGCGCGCAGGCGGUUUGGUAAGUCAGAUGUGAUAGCCCACGGCUCAACCGUGGAAGUGCAUUUGAAGCUGUCAGACUUGAGUACUAGAGGGGAAAGUGGAAUUCCCGGUGUAGAGGUGAAAUUCGUAGAUAUCGGGAGGAAUACCGGUGGCGAAGGCGACUUUCUGGCUAGAUACUGACGCUGAGGCGCGAAAGCGUGGGGAGCAAACAGGAUUAGAAACCCGGGUAGUCC